AUGAACGCUAGCGACAGGCUUAACACAUGCAAGUCGAGGGGCAGCACAGGUAGCAAUACCGGGUGGCGACCGGCGCACGGGUGAGUAACGCGUAUGCAACUUACCUAUCAGAGGGGGAUAACCCGGCGAAAGUCGGACUAAUACCGCAUGAAGCAGGGGUCCCGCAUGGGGAUAUUUGCUAAAGAUUCAUCGCUGAUAGAUAGGCAUGCGUUCCAUUAGGCAGUUGGCGGGGUAACGGCCCACCAAACCGACGAUGGAUAGGGGUUCUGAGAGGAAGGUCCCCCACAUUGGUACUGAGACACGGACCAAACUCCUACGGGAGGCAGCAGUGAGGAAUAUUGGUCAAUGGGCGUAAGCCUGAACCAGCCAAGUCGCGUGAGGGAUGAAGGUUCUAUGGAUCGUAAACCUCUUUUAUAAGGGAAUAAAGUGCGGGACGUGUCCCGUUUUGUAUGUACCUUAUGAAUAAGGAUCGGCUAACUCCGUGCCAGCAGCCGCGGUAAUACGGAGGAUCCGAGCGUUAUCCGGAUUUAUUGGGUUUAAAGGGUGCGUAGGCGGCCUUUUAAGUCAGCGGUGAAAGUCUGUGGCUCAACCAUAGAAUUGCCGUUGAAACUGGGAGGCUUGAGUAUGUUUGAGGCAGGCGGAAUGCGUGGUGUAGCGGUGAAAUGCUUAGAUAUCACGCAGAACCCCGAUUGCGAAGGCAGCCUGCCAAGCCAUGACUGACGCUGAUGCACGAAAGCGUGGGGAUCAAACAGGAUUAGAUACCCUGGUAGUCCACGCAGUAAACGAUGAUCACUAGCUGUUUGCGAUACACAGUAAGCGGCACAGCGAAAGCGUUAAGUGAUCCACCUGGGGAGUACGCCGGCAACGGUGAAACUCAAAGGAAUUGACGGGGGCCCGCACAAGCGGAGGAACAUGUGGUUUAAUUCGAUGAUACGCGAGGAACCUUACCCGGGUUUGAACGCAUUCGGACCGAGGUGGAAACACCUUUUCUAGCAAUAGCCGUUUGCGAGGUGCUGCAUGGUUGUCGUCAGCUCGUGCCGUGAGGUGUCGGCUUAAGUGCCAUAACGAGCGCAACCCUUGCCACUAGUUACUAACAGGUGAUGCUGAGGACUCUGGUGGGACUGCCAGCGUAAGCUGCGAGGAAGGCGGGGAUGACGUCAAAUCAGCACGGCCCUUACAUCCGGGGCGACACACGUGUUACAAUGGCGUGGACAAAGGGAAGCCACCUGGCGACAGGGAGCGAAUCCCCAAACCACGUCUCAGUUCGGAUCGGAGUCUGCAACCCGACUCCGUGAAGCUGGAUUCGCUAGUAAUCGCGCAUCAGCCAUGGCGCGGUGAAUACGUUCCCGGGCCUUGUACACACCGCCCGUCAAGCCAUGGGAGCCGGGGGUACCUGAAGUCCGUAACCGCGAGGAUCGGCCUAGGGUAAAACUGGUGACUGGGGCU
rnacentral:rRNA from 1 species